AUAUAUUAUCAGAUUUUCGGUC
rnacentral:miRNA from 1 species